rnacentral:rRNA from 1 species
CCUACGGGUGGCAGCAGUGGGGGAUAUUGCACAAUGGGGGGAACCCUGAUGCAGCGACGCCGCGUGGGUGAAGGAGUAUUUCGGUAUGUAAAGCCCUAUCGGCAGGGAAGAAAUUGGACGGUACCUGACUAAGAAGCCCCGGCUAACUACGUUCCAGCAGCCGCGGUAAUACGUAGGGGGCAAGCGGUAUCCGGAUUUACUGGGUGUAAAGGGGGCGCAGACGGCAGCGCAAGCCAGGAGUGAAAGCCCGGGGCCCAACCCCGGGACUGCUCUUGUAACUGCGCGGCUGGAGUGCCGGAGGGGCAGGCGGAAUUCCUGGUGUAGCGGUGAAAUGCGUAGAUAUCAGGAGGAACACCGGUGGCGAAGGCGGCCUGCUGGACUGCGACUGACGUUGAGGCCCGAAAGCGUGGGGAGCAAACAGGAUUAGAUACCCGGGUAGUC